GAGCUCACGGCCACCACCGAGGACACUGUGGAGACCCAAGAGCCCAAGAAGGCCAAGAGGUCCUCCAAGGAGGAAGCUGACAUGGCCCACACUGCCUUCCUGCUCCAGGCCAACAACAUGGCGACCAACGUCCAAGAUGGCCCCAGCGAAGCCUAGGCCAAGCGCCCUGCCUCCUCCUUCCACCCUUGACAAUCACCUUCAGAAUCAUGUUGAUCCUUAGGGCCCUCAGCUCGGGGGGCUCGCUGCCUGCACGCAACCCCACCCAGGCUUUUCCUACCUAGUCCCUCUUCAGUGGCAUCCAAUCCUGGCUUCAUUGUUCCUGUUGGGGGCGAGGUGAUGUGAGGAGUUCCUGUUUGAGGGAACUUCUUUCUAAUGAGACAACUAAGAUGUGGAAAGAGAAGGAAUUUUUAGAAAGGCCUCCUCAAAAAAAAAAA